GAUAGACAUUAAGCAAUAAGCGAAAGCUCGACUUAGUUAGGGUUAAAAGGGCCGGUAAAACUCGUGCCAGCCACCGCGGUUAUACGAGAGGCCCAAAUUGAUGCAAUACGGCGUAGAGUGUGAUUAGAGACAAAAACAAACUAAAGCCAAACACCCCCUAUACUGUCAUACGCCAUGGGGAGUAAGAAGCCCAACAACGAAAGUGGCUUUAAAAAUCUUGAACUCACGACAGCUAAGGCACAAACUGGGAUUAGAUACCCCACUAUGCUUAGCCUUAAACCAAGGCGAUAGGCCUACAAACCUCGCCCGCCAGGGGACUACGAGCAAUAGCUUAAAACCCAAAGGACUUGGCGGUGCCUCAAACCCACCUAGAGGAGCCUGUCCUAUAACCGAUAAUCCCCGUUAAACCUCACCCCUCCUUGUCAAUUCCGCCUAUAUACCGCCGUCGCCAGUUUACCUUAUGAAAGAACAACAGUAAGCAAAAUGGGCAACACCCCACACGUCAGGUCGAGGUGUAGCGAAUGGAGGGGGAAGAGAUGGGCUACAUUUUCUGGUGCAGAACACCACGAAAAGUGCAAUGAAAUAUGCACAAACGAAGGUGGAUUUAGCAGUAAAAGGGAAAAAGAGAGUCCCUUUGAAACCGGCUCUGAGGCGCGUACACACCGCCCGUCACUCUCCUCGAAUAACAACCAAUAGUACAUAAAACCUAAAAAAAUAGAGAGGAGGCAA
rnacentral:rRNA from 1 species